UACAGAGGUCUCAAGCGUUGUUCGGAUUCAUUGGGCGUAAAGGGUGCGUAGGCGGCGCGGUAAGUCGGGUGUGAAAUCUCGGAGCUUAACUCCGAAACUGCAUUCGAUACUGCCGUGCUUGAGGACUGGAGAGGAGACUGGAAUUUACGGUGUAGCGGUGAAAUGCGUAGAUAUCGUAAGGAAGACCAGUGGCGAAGGGCGGGUCUCUGGGCCGAUACUGACGCUGAGGAGCGAAAGCGUGGGAGCGAACAGGA
rnacentral:rRNA from 1 species